rnacentral:lncRNA from 1 species
AUCGCUACUCGAAUUGGAUUUAUCUUCUACACCUAUCGAAGAAUUACCCCAUUCUAUUGGUGGACAGUUGCAGCUCAUGAUUUUGCAGGAAAGUAAGAUAAGAGAGCUACUCGAGAGUAUAGGGACUUUGGAGAAUCUUGAGGAGCUAACAUCCCACGAUUGUGACAUUCUCGAGGGUAAAAAUCCUAGUGAAAUCACAGGACUAUCUCGAUUGGAGAUUCUGAACUUGCACAACACGAAGGUUAGUAGAUUGCCGAUGACAAUUAAUCGGCUCUUUAACCUCAGAGAACUUGAUUUAAGUUUUUGUGAUAGGCUUCAAUUACUACCGGACCUCCCCACAAGUUUAACAGACCUAAAGAUAAAGUCUCCAUCGUUGCUGGCAGUACCCGACCUCUCGAACCUCACUAGUUUAAAUCAUCUAAUAAUAAGUGAUUGCACGUAUGCUUGUGUGAGAACAACUAAACAAUUGUCCAUAUUUGAACGAGGACGAAUUCUACAUCCGAACCUAAGUUAUCUCGGAAGGCUUCAUAAAUUGCAGUCGUUUAACGUGGAUUUUUGCGAUCCAACCAUACAUCCAACAGACUUGAGAUCCCUUUCUCAGCUCUGGAAGUUAGAAAUAACCUGUGCCAACCUACGGCUUCUAACUGGGUUUCCGUCCAGUUUGAAAUUGUUGAACUUACAAGGUGUGAAGAUCCCAAUAGAAUGGUCAAUGUUCUCCAACCUGGACAAUUUGUGUCACGUACUGCUCUACGACUGUGGGUUUGGAGUGAUCGAGUUCGACAAUGUGAUUGGACAGCUAAAGAAUCUCUAGUCACUGCAAGUGUUCGAAUGGGAGGGGCUUGUGAGGAUAUCCAAUGUUUCGAGCUUAAAGGAGCAUUAAAAUUUGUUUGUGACGAAGUGUCCACAAUUAAUUGAGAUCGAACUUGAACCGUCUUCAACUGGAGAUUGCAGUUCCAUAGAAAGGCCCCUCCCUGAUGCUUUGAAGCUGGAGAAGCUAUGUUCGUUGAAGGUCCGUGAUUGUGCAUCAUUGCAAAAGGUACCAAAUACACGUUGUACGACUGCUUGGAACUGCCCAAGAGCUGGUCCAUAUGAAAAGUCAAGAGCAGCAAAAAGAGAGGGAGGGAGCGAGUCGGCAAAGCAAAGAGGGAACAGAAGAAAGAGUGUGGAAUCUGAGAACGAGCGGAAGGGGCUUUUGGCGCGAUUCGAUUCGGAGGCCAGGACAAGCUAGAUCGAUACCAUUUUGAAGCACUCGGUAAGAAUUCGAUACCUUCAAAUCAAAGAGAUGUGCUCUGUUCAGUUGUAAUUUCGGAUUGGUUCGGGUUUUAGGGUUGCCGAGUUGAUUCUUGAGAUUGUUGAGCCGUGACAUGAUGUCGUUUCAAAACUUUAGGUUGGUCUUGGAAUCAUGAGAUUUUAUGGAUUGCCGUUUGAGAGAUAUUGGUUCUUCGAAGUUCUCGGAAACUAAUUUAGAGUGACUGCAACCAGCAAGGUUUCGUCCUGGAUUUCAUCAGUUGUCGACCAAAUUUUGGUUCUAAGGAUUUGUUGGGUCUUUUAGUACUUUGAAUAAGCUCUCUUUUGACUGUAAACUCACUUAGAAUGGAGUUCAGUAGAGAUGUAUGACAUGCCAAAAUUCACAAUGUAAGAUGAGAUUGCUGCUCUGUUUCCUGUUGCAAGUAUGAUGCUUGUGCAGCCUUUUUGUCGACUUAUACUGGACAUUUUGACUUCAAAAAUUAGCGUCGCCUAGUAGAAUCUUAGUUGAGGUUAGUGAUAUGUAAGUGAGGACUGGUGCUUAGCUCUUCUAUGAUAUGUUAACUCAUGGCUUGAAAAUCACUGGAAUUAGAUAUGCUGUAUAAGUUAUGAAUGAGAGAUUGCACACUAUGAUAUAUAUGUGUACACGCACGCACGCACGACGCACGCGGCAUGCACGCACGCACUCCCGCCUGCCUGCCCGCCUGCCCGUACGCACGCAAGCACAUUAUUUGGUUAUUUGAAAUAGCAAAGUAAGAUAUCUCCUGAAAUAGUUGGAGGGCUGAUUACACACACACAUAUUUCCUUAUGUGGUUACACACCCACGCAUGCACGUAUGUAUAUUUCCUUAUUUGGUUAUUUGAAAUAGCAAAGUAAGAUAUCUCGUGAAAUAGUUGGAGGAUUGAUUAUUUACAAAAUGAUUUGAGAAAUUUUUUGUGAAUGUAUUCUUCUUGUGGAUGGAAUUGCGAAGGGUUGUAUGGAAUUGUGAAUAUAAUUUAUUAAAUGAGUUCUGAAAUGGUUUUGUUUUUGACGGGAUUAUGAAAUGGUUUUGUUUUUGACGGGAUUAUGUUGAUGGAUUUAUCCUCUUGUCACUAUGAUCUGAAAUCAUUGAAGGGUUGUGAGUAAGCAUACAUAUUCUCAGGACGUCUUGAAUGGCCAAAGCCACUGGCUAACAUUAGUGCAGACCUACACCUAGGAGGGAAUCUUGGUAAGCCUUUUCAUGGGGCAUUAAACAUGGCUAUAGUUUGAUAUGAAGUACUAGAGUAAUCAAUGGACUAAACCAUUGAUGUUUGUUUAGAUAUUGUUGAUUGAGUGAGUGUUUCUAAUAUGUUGAAAAUGUUGAUGAAAUGAUGUAACUCAUAUUUGGACAUAUAUUAUAAACUGGAUUUGGUUGUGUUUCUGUUACUGUUUAUAAUGUGCAUUAGUGAUCCUUGAUUUGUUGAGAAGUGAUGUGCACUAUUUAUUGAGAGGUGGUAUGCUUAUACCGUUCAUCUCAAUUCUUUUUCAGCUUCCGACUUAUAGGAGGAAAGCUACAUUAGUGGAGGAUUCUUAGGAAUUUGGAUUUUGGGUAUAACUUGAGAUAAUUGUGUGUAUAAUUUAUAAUGUACUUUUUCGAUUUAGUUUGUCGGUCACUGGAUAUAUAUAUUUCUAUUCGUGGAUUUUAGAACUCUAGUCAUGUAACCAGUUUUUUUUUAUGAGACAUUAAUGGGUAUAUUUGUUAUGAUAGGUUAAUGUUGGUUAUGCGUAUGAGACUGCGUCCUUUGGAUAGGAGGACGAUCGUGCCAUUUUCCCUAUGUUUGUAGAGCUAGGGUGUGAUGGUUUUAUCAAUUUGUCCUUUUAAGCUUUGUUCAAAAACAUCAAGCCAUGCAAGUAGUCAUUGUUCAAAAUAUGAUACCAUGUACAGCGCAAGUCAAGAGGUUGUGUGAGAGAAUAAUAUUGCUUUCUCUUAGUGCUAUUUGCUUCAUCUUGUUCUUACUUUUGGGAAUAUAAAUGAUAUGGAGCGUAAUUCGAAAUGUCCUUUGGGAAUUCAAAUUGGGGUAUAAUCUUUAUUGUAGAAAGCAAAAAUAUUCUAUUCUUAUGUAUGAUUUACUUAGCUAUCAAAGUAGAUUUGCUGAAGAAAAGAGCAGAAAAUGAAAAUGAACUUCAUGGUGAUUUUUCUUUAUCACGGGAAAACUACACCACCUAAGAAGUAUGAUAUGUAACUUCAGCCAACUCAUUUCCAGUGAUAACUCGUACUACAAUCCAAUACAUAUAUACUCACUUUAGUUAUAUCUCCUCUAUCUAUUUGCAGUUUCGUCUUUUAAUGUAUGCCACAGAUUGUCUGUGUGAUUUUAAUGGAAAAACAUGUGCAAUCUGCUUAAAGCUACUCAGUUUGCCAAGGCUGAUAGUUCCUUUGGAACUCUGUCGCAUAGGGGUACGGUGAGGACAACAAACAUAAUCUGUUUUCAAUAUAAAAGCAACAAGAUUCCAUCAAUAGAAGGCAAAUGUAUGUGGAUGUUCAAAUGGAGAAGUCAUCUGCUUUUAGUCUUGGAGCGCUCCCCGGCAAUAGUGUACGGAAGAGCCGGGCUGUAUGUAAAAAGUUAGAAGCACCUCAGCGUUUUGCAGUACUUGAUAGAGAAUAAAAGGUCUCAGCAGAUUGAGUUUGGCGAACUUAUGUAAUGAAUGAGACCAUUCUUUUCGGAAAUUCUUCUCAAUUGUUGACAACUUCAACCAUGUGUUUGCUUGGCCGUCAGAUAGUCUAUCGCUGUGAAUUCGGCAAUAAACAGUUGAUCCAUGCCAUGUUGUAUCUUAGUUUAGCUCCAGUUACUGGAGCGAACUACUUUCCAAGUAUAAAAAUGAUUGAGUUACCUGUACUCGUCUUCAAUGACCCAAUCAUCGAUGCUAACUUGGACUCAAAAGUUGCCUUAGUUGUCAAGUUCGAUAUGGUUUCCUUAACGACGAGAUCCGGGUGGAACUCCCAAGUGCACCAACUGUGGACAUAGAGCUCUUGUGAUCGCACGCCUCCGGUCAUGAAUUUGGGUCAAUGAUGAGGGCGCUCGAGAUCCAAGUUGGUUAAUUUGUACCUCUUCGAUACACCAUUGUGUCUCGUUCGUAUGCCCAGAGCAUAGAGGAAUCUGAGUAUAGGCGUGAUCCACAAUGACAAUUUCAAGGUAACUAAACUGAUAGAUAAUGAUCUUGACCAAAAAGAAGGAUAAUAGAUUACGAUAGUGAAGAGUCGUGUAUCUAAAAUUUUGUAAUGGGCCAUAGGAAUGACUAUUUAACGUAAUUAAUUUAACUUGAUUUCAAAUUGAAUCCUACUUAUCUUCAAUUUGGUUUAGGAUUUACCUAUAUGAUGAUAUAGAUGUAGAAAGUAUGGCAAUAAUAAGUUUCAUGUAAAUUUAUUGAGAAAUAAAUAGUGUUGAUUGAAUCUAUAUACACAUAUAUAUAACUUUUUCUUUAUACAAUUUUAUAGAAUAUUAAGCGAGUUUUUUUUUUUUUUGGUAUAUUCAUAUGUUGAAGUGAUGGUGAUGAGUAAAAUAAGUUAUAUGAAGAAAUAUUUCCGCCAAUUGCUAUUAUUAUAUAGAAAAUAUAUAUACAUAGAUAUAAUCGUUCAAUACCCAUAAGAUUCGUCUAGAUUUUUUUAAUUUUUUUUAUUUAAUCUAAAUCUUGGGCUUAUGCGUUUGGACUUUAAUUAACUUCGAAAUUCUUGAAAUUUUCACUAUUGAUACUUGGAUUCACAUACAGUUUUUUUAGAAUAUUUAAAAUUUAAAUUAUAUUCUUAAUUUUGAACGGAAAAGUACAAGAUAUAAAUACUUUUUUGCUCUUAUUUAAGUCCAAAGGAACACAUUUUUCUUUAGAUGGAAUAAAGGUCUUCUAUUUUUUUUCUUUUAAAAUUAACGAACUCCUCUUCUGUUAACAUGAGGCUGGGCUGGCGCUUUUUUACACUAAGAACAGAGAGCGCGAGGCUCAGAAGCAUUUGCCACCUCUCAUUUUUUUCCUGCAAGAGCUCUCUCAGCUCUCUGCUCUCUGCUCUCUCUCUCUCUCUCUCUCUCUCAAGAAAAUGCACCUACUGCAGUGUCCAUCUUCUUCUCCAUCUCUCUUCCUAUGCUGCUCAAAAGUCCAACCGAACAGAGGUAACUUUUGCGCUAAUUCAUGCAAUGAUCUUCGAACCGACACUGUCAGUGCCACUGUCUCAUCGCCUGGGCCUUUCUGUUGUAGGACUGUGUCUCUUGGCGAAUUCUCUCGCACCAUCGACAACCAGCUCUUAUGUCAAGCAACAAUGGCUUCGAAGCUCCAGAUGGGUAUCUCGCAAACCGCCCGUCUCGAAUUCCUCUGCAGCUAAGGCUGCUUCAGUGGAAGGUACUUUCUUUUUCUUUUUCCUUGUUCUUUCUAUGAAUAAUUUGAAUUCGUUGAUCAUCGGGUGCCUGUAAUAUUUGGUAAAUACCCAAAUGGGAUUCUUCUUUUUUUUUUUUUUUUUUUUAAUGUUCGAGUAUUUAUCUAUCUGAGAGAACCCAGUAGCUAUUUUCAUGAAAAUGUUGAGAAUUUGACAGAGUGAUCUUGUGGAGCGAGUGCAAGUGAUACAGUUAAGAUUGUUUCUAGUACGCCUAUAGCCUGAUUUAAUUAAUCGUAUCAUAGUAAGUAAAUCUAAUUAACUUUACUGAGGCGUCCAUGUUCGAUUCUUGGUAACUUUCUGCAAUUUACUUUUUGGUGCUAAUAAUCUGCUACUUAUAAAGUUGUGAGUUUCUAGAAAUGAGUAUGUUUAUGGUGAAACCGUUGGCUAGUGCCAUCAGAUCAAUCUGCUUCCACUAAUACAUAUCAUACUCUCUGCGAAGACAUAUUUACAUGUUCUGCCUUGAAGAAAAUUUUGGAGGAUUAUUUGGUAGGCCAAAUAAAAGGGGCUAGCUCUGUCAAACUAUUUUCUUGGAAUUGCAAAGAAACUAUACACGAACAGAAAACAAUUAAAGCAGUCUUGUGUUUGUGCACAUGAGCAUGCAUUGUACUAUUGAGAACCCAUCCAAACCAAUUACUCUUGGCUACCCCUUGUCAAAACCAAAUUUGAAUGGCCCUGAGUAGAUACAGAAGAUUAUUACAGCUUAUAAUCUUAAGGGAUUAAGGGCCAAAAAUAAUUGCCUAUCCUGUAUGCCCUGAGCAAAAUUGACUGGACUUGGUUGCUUAGUUUUCACCGAUUGUUCACCUCUGAUUUUUUCUUGUUCAUCUCAUAAGCUUGACAUCAUUCCGUGUACAUUUUCUGCUCUUGUAAUUGUAGAGAGUACUUCUGUAGUUUCAGCUCAGACAGCCGAAAGUGAUGUGCUGAAAGCCUUGUCUCAAUUAUUGAUCCUGACUUUGGAACGGACAUUGUUUCAUGAGGUUUUGUUAAGGACCUCCUCAGAGAUGAAGCUCUUGGAGAGGUUAUUAAAGAAUUAGUCUGGAAUUUAUUCUUUAUACAUCUGUAAGGAAUGACACCCUUACCCUACAAUGUCUUGGCUUUGAUUCUUGGGCUUUGAUUCUCAGGGCUCACUACACCUGCAUGUCCAAUCAAGGACAUGGUAAAUAACACAACCUAUGUUGCUUGCUCAGUAACCGAAUACUUGCUCAGUGCACUAGAUGUUCUGUCUUGUGUAUUAAUUACUUUAGAAACCAUUGAUACCUGCUCCUUUUGACACCCUUCCAUAAAUCUCUUUGCGCAUGUACAAUUUCAAAGUAUUUUUGAAACUAAUCUAUCAUUGUCUUUCUGCUUCCUAAUGGUUUCCUUAGAGUCUUUGCCUGAUAUAUCAGGUUUCUGAACCUUAAAUAGUUUAACAGCAUGAGUAUUCCUUGACAGUUUGAGCAGCAGGCAAAUGAGGUGGUGGCUAAUCUUCAUUGGGUCAAGAAUGUUAAAGCAACCAUGUCAGCACAACCAGCAAAACCUGUUUUCACAGGUGAACUUCCUCCAGGGUUACAGAUGAUCUCAAACAUUAUAGCAGUUUCAAGCUGCAAGGUAGGGUUGCUUUGAGAAGGUUGACUGUUUGUUGCACUUCAUUUUCCAGGUUAUGACAAAGUAGCUAUUUCGUUGCAUGACAUUUAGCUACAAGACGUUUUUGGGGUUGCUUUGAGAAGGUUGACUGUGACAUAAGGAUGACCUGUAGUUUCAUUCCAUCGUGAUGACUUCCCCGAUUUAGCGAAUUUUAUAAUGGAAAAGAUUUUUCUUUGAGUAUUUCCAAAUUGUGGUUUGACAUGUUGUUAGGUUACUAAUAUUAAAAAGUACUAUUCUUUAAUUUCUUCUAUCAUGACUGCUGUCUGUCAGAACUGUUCAGGGAGGCGUGGGAAAAUCAACUGUAGCUGUAAAUCUUGCAUAUACUUUGGCUAGAAUGGGAGCUCGAGUUGGUAUUUUGAUGCCGAUGUGUAUGGUCCAAGUAUACCAACAAUGGUGUCCCCUGAUAACUGACUUCUGGAAAUGGUAAUAAAGCUUAUAGUUCCACUUCCACUACAACGAAAUUAAUUUCUAGUUUAGUGAAGUAAUGCAUUUAUUAUUUCCACCUACCUUUUCUAGAACCCAGAGAAAAGAAGCAUAAUUCCCACAGAAUACCUAUGAGUGAAGCUGGUAUCUUUUGGAUUUGCUGGACAAGGCCCAUGCGAUAUGUGAGGUCCAAUGGUUUCUGGUGUCAUCAACCAACUCUUGACUACUACCGAGUGGUAUGAAAAAUCAUUGGAACUCUAUGACAUUGGCUGAUUGCAGGGGAAUGUUCGUCAUGCUUGCAUGCUGUGGUUAUUAUAUUCAAAUUUCUGUUCACUGUCAUUGUUGUCAAAGCGUGUUUUAUUCCUAUAAGAGAAGUGCGUGAUUCAAAGUAAACUACAGUUAAUCAAAAACAAUAAUUUUCUCUCAUCAUUCUCCUUUUUUUGGCUUCUGGGUCGGGCUUCUGCAGCUAAGCAUUACUAAACUCUCCUUGUAGGGGUGAGUUGGAUUACCUUGUUAUUGACAUGCCACCAGGGACUGGCGACAUUCAGCUUACAUUAUGCCAGGUUCGCAUUUUGUGCCUUUUCAUCUUAGAUCAGUAAUUAUGAACGGUUUAAUGUUUAUCCCUCUAUCCUUUUACAAACAAAGCACAUCUUUACAAUUAGAAGCUGCUAGUUGCAGGCAUUUUGCAUCAGAUAAUACUCUUGCAAGUUUUGUUUAUUGCUGCAGUUUUCAAUCUUAAUGUAAUGAUAUUAACUUUUCAGGUUGUACCCUUAACAGCUGCGGUCAUUGUUACCACCCCUCAAAAGCUUGCAUUUAUAGAUGUGGUGAAGGGAGUUCGCAUGUUCUCAAAACUUAAGGUUUGUGCCUUUGUACUAAUGACAAUCCCUAUUCAACACUAUCCUUUGAUUAAGUAUCCUUUGAAUCAUUUGUCAAGAAUUCUGGAAAUAUGAUGAAACAUGGAAAUGUAAUUUAAAAGAUACAAAUUCACCGUGACAAUUAUUGGACAGAGUGUUAUUGAAAAUUGGCUUAAAGUUAUACAUUUUUGGUACAGUGGAAACUUGUAUAUGGAUGUAUAGUUCUAGUUGAUAUCAUCAGUGAUUUAUCCUUAAUUUGAGCUCCUUUUUUCGUUUUUGUGAGCUGUUUUGUGUAUGUCUUUAGUUUUGGGCUCUUUUUGUAUAGGGUUUGCAACCCUCCCUUCCCCUCUCGGUGCCCUAUAGUUGAUCUUUUUUUAUCUAUCAAAGAGUCAUCUUUUGACAAUCCACUGUUCAUGCACACGGGUACCCUGUGUUGCUGCUGUGGAAAAUAUGUGCCACUUUGAUGCCGAUGGAAAGCGCUAUUACCCACUUGAUAGAGGAUCAGGCUCUCAGGCAUGUUUCUCCGAUUACUUAUUGUUUGGUUUACUUGUUACAAUGGAAUGCCAGAGCGCUAAUCCUAGGGUUACACUCUGGUGUUAAAGGAUGAAGCAUAUUCUCUGUUUCCUCAGAAUGUGCUGGAUUUAUUUACAGGUUGUCCAGCAGUUCGGAAUUCCUCAUUUAUUCAAUCUUCCCAUUAGACCAACGGUAUAUCCUCUGACAAGUUCUUUGAUCUUAUCUCUCGUUGUUGUGCCUUUGUUCUCUUAAUGUCCAUUCUUACUCCUGGUGAAGCAUGAUGGAUAAUAAUGAUUUCUUCCAUUGAUAUUAGUUAUCAGCCUCUGGAGAUAGUGGAAUGCCAGAAGUUGUGGCAGAUCCUCUAGGAGAAGUUGCCAAGACAUUCCAGGACCUCAGAGUGUGUGUUGUGCAACCGUGUGCCAAGAUUCGUCAACAAGGUAGUUUAUAUUUACUAGGUUAAAACAAUUUCUUGAUAAAGGUUGAGAGAGAUAUCUGUGUUUCGAGAAUCCAGUGCCAGUGUCUAACUAGAUUCCUAAGAUGAGAACUUUCCCAGUUCGUCAUUUGCCACUAAAAUUUUAGGCUCAUCUCCCCUCUGACGAUUAAAGGAAUACCUUCAGAAAUUGCAUAUCUUUUUUAUUUUUGGCUUUCAUAAUCAAAUGAUUCAAAGUGUCAUCUUCCUUUCCAGUGUCAACAGCCGUAACUCAUGAUAAAGUUAUCGAGGCAAUCAAAGCAAAGGUUCCAGAUUCAGACGAGGAGUGCUUUCUACACCCCACGACAGUGAGAAGAAACAACCGAUCAGCUCAAAGUGUGGCAUAAGGACUUUCCUUUGACCUGGAAAAACCCUCUGAUUGUUUUUAUCUUUGCAAAUGGAAAGUAGAUAUGUAGGUUUUUAUUGCAGCGGUGUCAACACAAUCAUGCAUAACCUUGGGAAAUAGAUAGAUGCUAAUCCUAUAGUUAGAAUGUUCAGGCCGGUUGCUGCAUUUCACCAGACAAGCUUAGUUUAAUAAUACAAAUGGACCUCCAAGCUAAUUUAUGACCCUUCUUUUAAAUUAAAUCAGAUGUCUAAGGUCGCAUUUUGAAAAUGUAGAUAAGUGGAUUUGAGCAGCUUUCAUGCCAUUACCCAUAAUCCAAGCACCCGUACAUGAAGGUCAAGCAUGUUUUCACUCGAACCUUACCUCUUAUCUUCACAUGAUGGUUUAAGCUAACCAUACCGGAUCUCAGUAAUCCGAGUGUUCUAUCAACUGAAUUCUUGAGUAUUAGUGAUUUGGCAUGGUAGAUUUUAGAGCAUUGAACUUCUUCAUUUAAAUCUAUUCAGUCGACUAAAAGAACUUCUUGCCUCAAAAGUGUUUACUCUGAUUUCCCCUCCUUUGGCAUCCUUUGUCGUGCUAAUAAAUGCCGAACAGCAUAGGGAUUCAGAGUAUAACAGCGGUUAUUCUCCAGUCUAAUCCCUCAAAGUCGAUGAAGAUUAGGGGUGGAAUUUAGCUUAAAUUAUUCCUUCCGAAGUUUCUACUUGUCCCGUGCUUGUCUUAGAUAUUGUGACUUGGACUACUGAAAAGAUUCUUAUGCCACUUAUCUGCACAUCAGGAUGAGUGGACAGGGGAGCAAAAACUGCAGUAUUCCAAUGUUCUGGAAGACAUCGAACCAGAAGAGAUUCAGCCAAUGGGAAACUAUGCCGUGUCCAUAGUUUGGCCAGACGGAUUUAAUCAGGUGACCAACGCUUUUCUACUGUGUCUCAUUCGAACGAAUAAUGUCACUCUUCAUCAUGGUUGACCAAUAAUUGGAGUUAGUUCCGAACAGUUUUUGAAGCACUUUACUCAGAUGAUACCUUCAUCAAUCAACCGUUAUCCUUUUUCUCUGUUUUAACUCCUCUCCUUUGUGCAGAUUGCUCCAUAUGAUCAGUUGCAAAUGAUUGAACGUCUGGUCAGUGUUCCUGCUCAGUCGUGACACAUUCAUCCACCUACAGUCGUAGAUUGAGGCUUAGGUGAGAAGAAUUGGCAAACACUAGAAUUCUCUCGAGAAUGUAAUCGGCAUCGUCUUCCCUCUGCCCGCCCUGAUGGGCUAGUCAACUAAACGCAGCAGAUUGGAGGGUGCAGAGUAGCUCGAACAGAUGAACACAGAGAGAGACAUUCGAACCCGGAAAGCCUCUAUAUAUGUGCUUGCUCUCUCCUCUCUUCUUGUUUCAUUUUCUCUUCGGCACUUCGUGUAAGAAUCUCAGAACAUAAGGAAUUCCAGUACAUGAUGCACUUGCUUCAUUUUUAGUAUCCAUCAGGUGUUCUUGCAAAACCAGUGUCCCCCCGCUCCAUCACUGUCUGCCUAACCUGGCAUAAAAAACAGUUCUGAAAUCUUUUGGUGAUAUAUGAAAUGAUUUAUGGAUUUGGUUUGUGAAUUAUGGAUGGUGUUGUUUUGGAUUGAUAUUGAUGCUCAAUAUCGCUGUGAGCUCAACGAGAGGCUUGUGGGUAUGCGCAUACUAGUUCUUGUGGGCCGAGCCACGGCUAAUAAUAGGUGGAGAACUUAUUAAGGGGGAAAUUUUGGUCGCCUCAUCACUAGGCGUUAUAUCGUGAUCAUGGUUUGAUAUUGAGUAACGGAUUGGUCAAUGGAAUUGAUCAUUAACAUGUGAUUUGAGUUUAGUCGUUAGAAUGGACCAUCGACAUGUGGUUUCCUAUGAGAUGGAUAAGUGGAAUGGACCAUUGAUAUGUCGCAUGAGACUAACCAAUGGAAUGAACCAUUGGCAUGUGACUUAAUGAGAUUGAUCAAUGGAUUUGACCAUUGACAUUUGUUUUGAUAUUAUUGUGAAAUGAAUGUGAUUAUUCUUAAGUGUACGUAACUUAUUUUCUUAUUAUUUAUUUGUUAUAUUCUAGUUUUGUGUUAAAAGAAUUGUAGUUUGGUUUUGGAAAUGUGUAUAGUGGGUGCUCGAUCUGCUUAGGAGGGAUGAACUACUCACUGACCUAUAGUUGCUCACCACUCUAUUUGCCAAUCUUUUUCAGAUUCCUCAGCUAAUGAUAAGUAGUACAAAAGCGAUAUCGAUGAGCGAACUUUUAGGAAUUGGAUUUUAGGAGCUCUAAGGCUGCAUCAUUCAAGUGGAAGGACGGCCGUAUCACCCCCCAUUUAUGAUGGUUUCGGGGUGUGACACAAAGAGCAUUGUCCCUCUUGAACUUGUUAUCGGUUUUUAAUAAUGGGGUUUAUAAUUUAUUUGCAAAUAUUCAAAUAUCAUUCUUAAGUUCAAAAAAAGUUUCCAGAUAAGGAUGAAACCUCACUUAACAAAACAAUGUGCUUUCUCCCCAAUCCAGGUGUAAUAUGUUAAAGCAGAACGGAAUGUUGGCGAUGCUUUGACAAGAACGAUAAAAUCCAUACUUAGCUGACAUUUUGGGAUGAUAAAAAAGAAUCACCAUUUAAAGUGACCGAGCAAAUCUUUUGUUUCAAAUGAAUUACGCAUAAGAAAUGAAUGAGUAUUAUUAUUUUUUAUCGUUUAGGAUACAUAUUACACACACGAAAUCCAUUUGUAUAAUUUUUUUAUCCAGCGACUUCAGUUGAUUGUUGUCCAUUGUGGCCAUUUCCUCUCGAUAAUCAACGGGCAUAAGACACAUGAACAUACUAAAAUAAUUUCAAGAGACAGAAUUGAACAAACUAAAGUUCUAGAGAUUGACCAAUUUCACAUACUAAACAAAAGUGUAGGACAUCUAAACAAAUCAUGUGAAAGCAUGAAUGCAUUGCAUAUUAGAAUAAAAUUCUUGAACUUAAGUAAAUCAAUUUAAAGUAAAAUAUGACCACGUAUAUAUAUAUGUGUGUGUGUGUGAGCCCCUUCUUCUAGGGCAACAAAUUCAGCAUGCCAAAGAAUCCAACAUGCACGAUAAAUUGGAAUUGGAGAAGGCAACAAAGUCACAUGUAAUUGAUUUUUCUUCACGCUUUUUGAAAUCUGGGCCAGCCAAUUCUCGUAUGCCAAUUUUUGACUUGCACAUGGUCGAGUUCACGCAUUCUCAUUAGUCGGGCUUUGUUCAAUGGGCUUAAAUUCUCGAUAUAUUUUAUAGAUGGCCCUAUUAAGAAAAGUGAUAUAGAGCUGCCAGGACUCUUUCACCCUUUUUUCAGUUGGCCUGAAGUAAGCAAGUGAUAUCCCUUUGUGCUAUUCAUCUAUAUGCAAAUCCGUCUUCUGAUGUAUUCAACAGUUUGUCCGCGAUUUCAAUAAAAAAAUUUAUGCACCCCGAAUGAAGCUACUCAGUUUGCCGACAGCUAAUAGUUCCUUCAAACUUCUGUUGCAUAGGGAUAUACGAGGAGAAAAAAACCUGUUUCCAACGUCGAAGCAACAAGGUUCGAUCAAUAAAAGGCAAAUGCUUGUGGCUGUGCAAACGGAAUGGUCAUAUGCUUUUAAUCUUAUCAUCCAGUACGAAUUUCAAUUUAAUUUUUGAGUCUCUUUGAAAAUUGCAAAUCCAAUUGAUUUCAUCAACGAAUGUACCAUCGAAUAGAGGGGCAGUGAGACCACUAGUUUUCGAAUUUUGGUCCUAAAAUUCAACAUUGUCAAUUAAAGUCCAAUGAUAUGCCCGGCCUUUCAAUUUAUCAAGUAGGUCCUAUGCUUUGGCUGAGGAGCAUUGUCGCUACAAAACUUUCGAUCGGUUAUAAAUUAAUGAGGUUCCUAAAUCAUUUUCAAAUAUUUAGUAUCGUCUUAAGUUUGAGGAGGGUUUGGGAUUAGGAUAAACCUUUUGCGCCUUCUUCGUGAUUCAAUGGAAAUCAUGUGAAACGGAGAAUGGAUUUGUUUGCUAUGCUUUGAAAAGAACAGCAAAAUCCUAUGUACUUCUCACUAGCUGAUAUGAUGAAUGAGCAUGAUUAAAGGGACUAAGCAAAUUUGUUUGUUUAAAAUGAAUCACACAUAAAAACCGAAUGUGUGUCAUUUAUCUAUAAUUUCAGAUAAUUGUUACACAUGGGAAAUCUAUUUGUAUAAUUUUUUUUCAAUUUAUUGGCUUUUGUAGACUGUUGUCCAUUUUAGAAACUUCCUUUAGGAUAAUCAAUGGGCGUAUGCCAUAUGACACAUAUUAAAAUAAUUUCACAAGAACAAGCAGAAGUUCCAGGGAUGAAUCAAUUACACACACUAUAAACAAAAGUUUAGCAUUCUACUAAAUCAAUUCAAAAUUCAGAAAAGCAUUGCAGGUCGUAACAAAGUUGUUGGACCUAAUUAAAUCUAUUUAAAUGUCAAUUACGAUAAUGCACCUUAAGCAAGAAUUUAGAUAUCACUAUCACAUUGCUAUUAAUUAUUGAGUAUUUCAAGCAGUUUUACUAACAAUUACGGGCAUUUAGAGCACUAGUCAAUGAUGUGGUGACGAACUCCAUCAUUUAUUGAAUGGCCAUGUCAAAAAGUGUAGGACAUAAUGCAAUGCACAUUACACAUUUAGAUCAAGUUGCUGCCAUGUUAAUUGCAAGUCAUAAGAUCGAAAUUCCUUCUUCAACCACUCAAUAAUAACCUGCAAAAAAAUGGAGGAUGCCUCCCAUUACGACUCCUGAAAGGACAUUUUCCAUGUUUCUGAAGAUAUUUUCGGCGUGUUGGGGCAAAAAUAGUGAAAAAUAUGAAUGCGCCCUCAAUUUCAUAGAAGAGAAUUUUUCAUUUGAAUAUUCCGGACCUCCUCAUUUAUCUCGGACAUGAGUAAAAAUAAAAUGCUAGAAGUGCUUCAGAAUUGAAGCAUUGUCCUCCUUGGGCUUCCCAGAUUUUUCCCAUGCAUUGCUGUGCUAAGAUGCGAGUCAGAAGGAGCGGGCAUAGGCAGCCGUACAAGUAAGGGUAAAAGCAAUAUGAAAGAGAGAAGAAUAAAAUUAUGCUUCACAGAAAUUUCCCAUGCAUUGCCGUGCUAAGAUGCGAGUCAAAAAGAGCGGGCAUAGGCAGCCGUACAAGUAAGGGCAAAAGCAGUAUGAAAGAGAGAAGGAUGGAAUUGUGCUUCGCAGAAAUUUCUCAUAUAUUGCUGUGCUAAGAAGGGUACAAGCAGCAUGAAAGAGAGAAGAAUAGAAUUAUGCUUCGCAGAAAUUUCCCAUGUAUUGCCGCGCUAAGAUGCGAAUCGAAAAGAGCGAGCAUAGGCAGCUGUACAAGUAAUGGUAAAAGCAGUGUGAAAGAGAGAAGAAUAGAUUUGUGCUUCGCAGAAAUUUCCCACGUAUUCCUGUGCUAAGAUGCGGAUCGAAAAGACCGGGCACAGGAAGCCGUACAAGCAAGGGUAAAAAGCAGUAUGAAAGAGAGAAGAAUAGAAGAGGGAAACUCCUGUCAAAACGAGCAUUUUUGCACGAAAUUAUUGCCCAUGGAAACCCCAUCAGGGGGUCCUUUUGACUCAUUCAUCGAUUGCCCACCGAUAUAUCUUGACAUCUUAAUCCACAAGGCAAGAUGGUCUGAGAAUUUGAAGGUAAUUAAGGGAAAAAUCGCAACUACUUCAACGUCGAGUGAAGUUGCGGAAAAUAUGUAAUUGCUAAAAUUUACGUAUGUAGAACAUUGACAGAUGCCGUUAUCCGUCAAAUUGAAUCGUUACUCUCAAUAAACAAUUAUAUCACACGCACAGACAUUCGAACUUGGAAAGCCUCUAACUAAGAAGCAAAAAAAUUGAGGAAAAGAAAUAUUAUUAGGCUCGAAAGAAGUCUUCCUCUUUUUAUUUUAGUUCUUCACUUUAAGCGAUUCCCAUCAUCAUCUCACCUUACCAAGAACGUGGACUUGAGCAAAGACUUGGAAUGCAUUGGCUAAUGUUUAACUUGUCAAACAUAUGACAGGUCUUCUUCCAAAUGGCUCAACGUUCUUUGGAGCUUUUAUUUAACAGAUUAAACAAUGGUGAAUCUACUGUUUGUCUCCGCGUUCUCAUGCUCACUGCAUACAAAACCUCCAUCACUUGAGUUCCUUUCAUACUUCACAGAAGUUUCCGAGAUAAAUAAGGAGAAGACGAAGACUUGGGGAGUCUCUCUUUUUCCUAUUUCCUCCAAGUCCUUGUUUGGCAUUAUCUGCAUUUCCGGGUACAGUGAUCAAUUAUGUGUGGAAUGCUAUCAGACUUAUAUCUCUUGGUCUUUAUUAUCAGCUUCACCAAAUUGUCACGUGAUUUCAGUGUAAAGACAAAAUACACUCACCAUCUGAUGUGCCCGCUAAGUAUAGAACGGUAGAAUGAGUUUUUACUCCUAGUCUAAUUGACCUUUCUACUCUUGGGAGAAUUUUUUUAGCUGAAUUGCAUUGUUUGAAUCUUGCAUCAACUAUCGUCAUGACUAAUGCAAGUAAAUAAACGAAACGAUUCAAGCAAGAAAGGAGUAUAAUCAUUCUCUCUUCUUAAAAACUCUUUAGAUUUCUCAUAAGUUGUUCAUUAGAUAUACAUAAACUUCGGGGUUAGGUGUCUGACAAAAAUAGGCCCCAUCACCCGAGCACUAUGUUGGAAAAGACUUUCAGCUCGGGGGGUUUGUCGGUCGUCUAGCAACCCAGCCACUUCUUGGCCGAGUGCUUGCCUAGUUGCCUGGUUUGACAAGCGCUAGGGGGGCCGGCUUCUUGCAUCUUCCAGUCGUCUAUCACCGUUUCCAAGCCCCCACAAACACGUCGAGUGUCCGGAAACAUCAAACUUGAUUCCAAUUCAAACGAAGAUUAAUUUUGCUCCAUAAUCAAUAAAUCUCUGCCUUGGCAAGAAGUCCAAAUUUAUCUUCAUUGGUCGUUGUCUAUCUCAAGCCCCCUUGAUCUCCUCACUUCUUGUAGAUGCUAGACUAGUUGUCUUAAACAAUUCACUAUUAUUCGUUUACAUGUUAUGAUGUCAUAAUUUUUCAAUUUGUUUAAGUCAUUCCUUGACUUUGUCCAAGGAACAUUGCCACUCCUAAACUAUUUUCAUUGGUGUUAAAUUAAUGGGAUUCUUAAAUUAUUUUAUAUCAAAUCACUUCUAAUUUGGAAUUGUAAUGUUUGAGUAAUGUAUAAUUUAGUUUUGAAGAUGUCAAAUCAAAUCGAGUUUCAAGAUAAAAUACCUAAAAAUCAUGUGUUUUGAUUUUGAAUGAUGGACUUCUACAUUUUUCUCAAGAGGCACUUAUUAACAGCAGAGGAGAGAUUUAAUCCUAAUUUCCUUUUAACCCUAAUAAUGAUUGUCUUGUGAAAUCAAUUGGUCUGGGACUUAGUGGAAUAUGAAAAGCUAGAAUUAAAUCAACAUCACAUUCCCAACAUGAAUUGGCUUUUGAUGACCCACUCUAUGAUAUUUCACGUCAGAGAAUCCAUUUUUCCAUGGCAAAAAUAUUGUCCAACACACUUUGUUCUAUCGUAAGACAGCCUAAUAGGGAGAAAAAAAAGUGGCUUUAGAAAGCAAGAGCGCAUUAUUACUUGCCCAAAGGUCGUCGUUUAGCCCUGUUGGGCUCCAUCAUGGCGUACGGGAGAAUACUUCUCAUGCUUUGAUGCUCCACUAAAAAUCGAUGCUUUUUUGGGGAAGGCUCGAGUUUCGACACAUUUGAAGACUUCUGCAAAUCAAGUCAAGUAGGUUCCGAGAAAAUACCGCGAAAUUGAUGCCCUCCAGAAAAAGGAGGCGUGAUGAACAACAAAUUAAAAAGGAUUUGAACAUCAGGUCGUCAUGAUGCCAUCGGUUCCCGUUUCAAAGAUGGUAAAUGAAUCAAACACGGCUUAUUGCACUUCUUUGCGUAUAUAGAUCAAACCAUCACAUAUUAUGAACUAAUUAAGACCACAUAUUAAUUAUUCCACCAUACACCACAUUCUCAAAAUUCUAAUAUCACUAGCAUAAACCUUCACAAACAAAACGGUAGAUUAGACAUGAAUGAGGGAAUUUUCGAUGAUCAAUUCGAAUCAAAUUGCAGUGAACUGGUCUGGACAGAGGCACAAGCAGCACAGUGAACGAGGUGCGACUUGCGCCAAGUCCGUGUUGAUAGUUCACAUCUUUCCCUGACAGGCUAGGGUUGCAAUCAAAUCAUUAUCCUUUUGUGAGCCCUCCUUCUAGACAUCACAUGCACCUAACGCUCUCCUCUUUUCUCUCUUCCCCACAUGUCCUCUCUGUUUUCUCUCCUUUGGUUACCUUUUUCUUUUCCUUUCCACUUGCCCUUAUUGCGUCCUCUUCCCGCUUAUCUUUUUCUUAUCCGCCUAAUCCUCUGCUUUCCCUCUGUUUCUUUUUUUUCUUUUUAACUUUAUAUCUCUUCGGUUUUGCUGACAAAAAAGUCAAAGAAAGAUGAACAAAGCAGGAGGCGAAAGAAAGAAUCGCACGGGUCCCCAUAAAAAGUGCAGACACGGGUUUCAUUUGCUUUUGGGGAACUUCUCAGAUCUAAGAAAAAUGGAGAAGGAAUUGAACCCAAAGAAAGAUUCAUUUUACCCAGGAUACAGAUUGCAAUAAAGACACUGUGGGGGCGUCCCUCGCACUGUCUGUGAAGGAGCAAAGAAAAUACCGGGGGGGCAAGUGGCCGACAAGAGGAUUCAGUCACUUUCCUUGGCAUGACCUAUGACCAAGAGAGUUCGAAUGAGAGAUGGAGAAGGGGAAGUUUCGGGGCAGCUCGCGCAUUUGGCCAGAUCGUAAAAGAUUCCCGAUCUCACCUAAAUUGUUAUUUGAUGUGCGCACGCUGUCCUUGAACGGGAAUGCAAUAAGAAAAAAAAAAAGAUAAUAUUACGAAAAACCCAAAUAAAUACACAUAUAAUAAGUUUAUCAUCGACUAAUUUUUCGACACUUAAAAAUUUCCAAAUUAGUAAAUUUGUAACAAAUUUAUUUUAAACUAAUUUUUAAUUUCAAAAAUCCAUAAAUUAGUUCAUUUGUGACAAGCAUAUCCCCAUUAAAUUAGAUUAAUACCACAAAAAGCCACAAAACAAAUAUGCAUAUGACAAAUAGAUACAAAAAUCCUAAAUCGGUACAUUCAUUAACUGUUACAUAUCAUCCAACUGAAUUAUUUGAUAGUACAUUUUAACAGAAACUAAUAGAGAGCAAAUUUAUCACAUGUGUACCAGUUUUGUAUUUUUGAUAAAAUCAAAAUUUUAUUUUGAGGUAUAUUUAUCAUAGGUACACAAAUUUGGGACUUUUCGUAAUUAAAAAAUUAAUUUAUGAUAAAUUUAUCACGUAAGUACCAAUUUAAGAUUUUUCAUGAUAUUAAUUCAUAGUAAAAUGAAUAAAUGCCAACAAGUCUAAUUGCUAGAAAAACAUUCUAUUAUGCAUAAUCGGCAAAAAAACUAGAGGCAUGUGAAGCCAACAAAUUUUUUAUAUGUAGUUUCACGAAAACUAUAGAUACGAGUUUGACGAGAAGGAUUUUUUAGUGUAGUUUUGAUCAAGCAAUGCUUCCCCCAUGAACCUGCCUUAAUUGGCCUCUUUCUUCUUCUUCUAUUUUAUUUUUUUUGGCCAACUUUAGGAUUGAUUUUAAUCUUUAUGGAACAUAUAACCUUGAAAACAAAUAAUUUCCAAAACCAAAUCAGGGACGUUGAUCCUCUACCUCGGGGUGCUCCGAUGGGCUUCUCAUGUAAAUGAAUCCGCCCAUCAAUUGAGAAUUGAUUGAGGCGCCAAUGAAUUCGCCUUGCAGAAAUAGAGGCUGUUUAUUCCUAAAUCAAGUUUACAUUUUGGUUUUCCUUAUUCAAAAUACUUAUAGGAUCCAGUGUUUGUAACCUCCAUUUGAGUUUAUUUUGGAUUUGAAGAGGAAAAAAAAAAAGAUGAAUGCAAUUUACGACUAUCGACUAUAUAAGGAUGGUCGUUUUUGCGCUUGAAAGGAAGCAUUGUUUUGCCAUCCCUUGAAAAAGGAAUUCUAACUUAGUUUCUGCAGUUAAAGACUUGGCAAUGUGCACCCUGCCGAUUGGACUAACUUCAAUCAUGCAGUCAAUAUGUAAAGUAAUUUUUACUUAAAUAGGAUCAAUGGUCGAAUCCUAUUUAAAAGAUGAGAGCACUUGGACCACUCAUCAAAAAGUGAAAGUUCUCAAGAAAGUAAUAAAAUUGAUGAAUUUUAAGGAAAAAAUAGUUUUUUUCUUUUGGUUGAUUUUCGACGAGAGUGUAAUUGACUAUAAAAGUAAAGGAAUUGAAAUAUAGGUAUAAAAAUUAAAGGUGGCGAGGAAGACAUAGAGAACUGGAAUUCAAAGGUAAAUGCCACUUAAAAGCUCUUUAGAUUUUGCACGAGUUAUUAGUUAUAUUUACAUAAAUAUAGGGGGUUAGGAUGUCUGACCAAAAUAGGCCUGGACACACGGGCACUAUGUUGGAAAACUGUCUCAGUUCUGGAGUUUUGCUGAGCGUUCGGCAACCCAGCCACUCCUUGGCUGAGUGCUCGCCUAGUUGCCUGGUUUGUCUAGGCACGGCCGGCUUCUCGCAUCCUUUAGUUGUCCGUCUCCGUUUCUGAGCCCAUACAAACACUUUGAGCGUUCGAAAACAUCAAACUCGCGUUGAUUCCAAUUCAAACAAGAUUAAUUUCUAGCCACAAUCAACAAAUCUCCACCUUGGUGAGAAGUCCAAAUUCAUCCUCAUUAAUUGUCAUCUCUCUCAAGCUCCUUUAAUUUCCUCACUCGAUGUAGAUGCUAACCAAGUCUAAGGACGAUAGGAGUCUUAAAAAAUUCACCAUUUUCUAUUUACAUUUUAUGAUUUUCCUGACUUUUCGAUUUGUUAAAGUAAGUCCUUAACUUUGUCCAAGGAGCAUUAUAUCUCUUGAAUAUUUUAUCGGUUUUAAAUUAAUGAGGUUCCUAAAUUAUUUUAAAACAUUCAAUAUCAUUCUUGAUUUCAAAAAAAAGGUUUCAGAUAGGGUUAAAACCUCUCGCUUAACAAAUCAACGUGCAUUCUUCCUGAUUCAAUCGAUAUCCUGUGCAUGUAGAAUGGAUUGUUUGCUAUGCUUUGACAAGAACAGCAAAAUCCAUACUUAGCUGACAUAUUAGGAUGAUGAUUAAGAAUGACCGUUUAAAGUGACCGAGCAAAUAAUUUGUUUUAAAUUACCGACCAAAAAAUAAUAAUAAUUUGUUUUAAAUGAAUUACACAUAAAAAAACGCCUGUGUAUUAUUUUUCUAUCAUUUCGAAUAUAUGUUUCUCAUACAAAAUCCAUUUGUAUAACUUUUUUAUCCAACGGCUUUAGUACAUUGUUGUCCAUUGUAGCAAUUUUCUUUACAACAGGGGUAUGACAUUACAAAAUUGUAAAAAUCAUGUGAAAGCAAAAUGCAUUGCAUGUUGGAAUAAAGUUCUUGAACCCAAGUAAAUUGAUUUAUAGUACAAUUACAAGCGUGCAUAUUUGGCAAAAAUUUAGAUAUCAUCAUCACAUUGCUAUUAAUUAUGAGUAUAUUGGAUGAAGUGGUACCGAGCUUUAUAGCUGAUGAAUGGUCACGUCAUAAAAGGGUUGUAAAUAAUGCAAUGCACAUUACGUAUUAUAUCAAGCUGCUACAUUAGAAUAUGAUUCAAAUAAACUAGUAUCUCACAUGAUUAUAUCACACAUGCGCGCGCUCUUUCUCAAUUGGUGAAGUUAAGGCUUAAAUCUCUAGUUCCAUCAACGGAUAACAAUGCAUUUUAAAUUAUUAACUUCGACCUUUUUUAUUCAAGAUACACUUAUUAACAGCGUAUUUGAUCCUAAAUUUUUUUAAUUACGGUCAGGAUGGAUUGAUUGGUCCUAAUAAUGAUUAUCUUGUGAAGUCAAUUGUUAAUGACUUAGUGGAAUAUGAAAAUCAAAAAUCAUAUCAUCGUCUCGUUCCCAACAUGAACUAACUCUUGAUGGCCCACGCUCUGAUAUUCCACGUCAGAAAGAUCCAUUUUUCCAUGGCAAAAUUUGUCCAAUGCCCUCGAUUCCAUGUCACGACAAGCUAAUAAAGGGAAAAAUAAAGUGGCUUUAGGAAAAGUGAGAGGGCAUUAUUACUUGCGGUCAGGGUUCGUUCAGCUUUUUAUUUCAAUUCCUAAUCAGGCUCCAUCAUUGCGUAUGGGAAAAUGCGUCUCAUGCUCUGAUGCUCCACCAAAAAUCGGUGCUUUUUAAGGGAAUUAGGCUCGAGUUCUAAUACAUUUGAAGACUUCCCCAAAUCAACUCAACUCAGGUAGGUUCCGAGAAAACGCUAUGAAAAGCGAUGGUCCUCUGGAAAAGGAGGUGUGAUGAACUACAAAUGAAGAACAGUUGUCUGAGGUAGGUGAUUUCGUGGAAGCGUACAAAAGUGAUCUUUCUUUGCAUCUCCUGUCGCUCCGGGUGAGCUUGAAUCAGUCAAUAGUUGUUUCGGGACAAAAAAGAAAGUCAGUCGACCGGUUCUCUUAUAAAUUGCCAACGAGCAUAAGGUUGCGACUCCGAACGUGCAAAAAAGUUUGAUAUUCCUUCCGUAGCCAAAAAUCUGCAGGAAUGGAACAUCACGGAGGAAAGUCUCUCCCCCUCAGUGGUGAAUUUUCAUCGUCGUCGAGGAGGGAGUAUGAGGUGUUCUUGAGCUUCAGAGGGCCUGACACUCGCUUAACCAUCACAGAUUCUCUCUACGCGGCCAUGAUCCAAGCCGGGAUACAUGUCUUCAAAGACAAUGAAGAGCUCCGUGUUGGGGAGGAGAUCGGAGGCGAGCUUUUGAGAGCAAUCUCCACUUCAAAAAUCUACGUACCGAUCUUCUCUAAAGACUAUGCUUCCAGUAAAUGGUGUCUCCGCGAGCUCGCGUCCAUGGUGGAGCAUAGGAAGAGAGACGAGAAAGUGAUCUUGCCCAUCUUCUAUGAGGUGGAUGCAUCCGAUCUUAAGCUCAGAACUGGAUCGUACGGUGAGGCCCUAGAAAAGCAUGAGAAAGAGUGUGGUGAAGACACAGCAAAGCAGUGGAAGGAGGCCCUGAGAGAGGUCGCCAGAAUCACAGGAUGGAACUUAAAAGAUCACGGGUAAUUAAUGAUAACUUCUAUACUUUCAUUUCUAAAUUUAGAUCAUUGUUUCUUAAUCACCAAAACUCAAUAUAUAGACCCCCAACAAAUAUUCUGAAGUUAAAUGGAAGUUGAAAUGGUAGUGCAAAUUACCAUGUUCGUUUUUAUAAAGUCCAUUUCAUCAGCAUAUAAUUUUUCAAAACUCGUAACCAAUCCAUUGACUGCACUUUUGCAUGCAGUUUUUAUCUCAUUUCAUGCCAUUCUUCCUUGUAGUAAUUCCUAUGACAAUUGAAUUUUAGAGAAAUCAUUUAAGGAUGAACCUUACCCAUGAAUAGUUCAAAAAGUUGUGUCCCAGUCGAUGUGGGAUUGUGGUGCCACAGAGUCACAGACUCCGCACUUAAAAGUAUUGACGUCCUCCACAGUGUUGGCCCCACUCAAGAAUGCCCUCCCUACUUAAUGUGCGAUUUGGUCCAUUUUCACCCUUUGUCAUGCUAGAUGCAUGGCGCGCGAACCAAAACAAUUGGUUUGGUUCGCCCUUUUGGCUAUGGAGCUAGUUUUGAUGACCACAUCGCACAUUAUAAUUUCCAUUGAUUUGACCAUCUAAAAACUCUUCAGAACUACCCCCAUCAAAUCCCAACCAUUGUUAUCUAUAACUGAGAUCAAUCUUCUCGGCAUAGGUAGGACUGAAUAUGAAAUAAACUAAUAAUCCAUGCUUGGUUUUAACAAUUAAAGUUUCUGGUUUUGCAUAUUUAUGCUUUUGUGCGUGUUUGUGGUUUCUCAAACUAAGACGGUUGCAUUAUGUAUAUGGCAGCCUAAAUAAACUUAUAAGACUUGUAGUGGAAGAAGUUUACAGUAAGCUGAGGUCUCCACAGACAAACUGGUGUGAUGGCUUGGUGGGAAUUCACAAUAAGAUGGAAGCCGUUAUGAAGUUGUUAAGCCUAGGAAUUUCUGAUGUACGAUUUAUUGUGAUUUACGGUAUGGGCGGUAUCGGAAAAACAACUCUUGCUAAGGCUAUCUUCAGACGUAUCUCUUCCCAGUUCCAAAGUUGCAGCUUUCUUUCAAAUAUCCGUGACAAAGAUANNNNNNNNNNNNNNNNNNNNNNNNNNNNNNNNNNNNNNNNNNNNNNNNNNNNNNNNNNNNNNNNNNNNNNNNNNNNNNNNNNNNNNNNNNNNNNNNNNNNAUGCUCUUCGAGAGUUGACGAGAUUCGAUGGUCUUGAGUCAUUAAUGCUGAUGAGGGGAGGGACAUGAUCAAAGAAAGACUCGAUAAUAAGAAAGUCAUCCUUGUUCUUGACGAUAUGGACAAGGACCAAUUCAAGAAGCUAGCUGGUAAGUCUAGUUGGUUUGGGCUAGGAAGCAAAAUUAUUAUUACGACGAGGAACACCUAUUUCGUAGCUCCACAAACCGAUGACAAUAUCAUCCCACUUAAUCAUCAGGAUUUCUUUUUUUAUGAAAUAAGGGAACUGCAAUUUCACCAUGCUCUUCAACUAUUCAGCAAGUGCUCCUUCGAAAAUGACUCACCUCCACAUGAUUACAUUGAUAUUUCAUAUAAAAUUGUCGAAACUACUGGAGGACUACCAUUGGCUCUCGAGGUCAUAGGAUCAUUACUCCAUUCAAAAUGCAUGAGGACAUGGAAAAACAUAUUGAAGAAGUUGAAGGAAGUGCCCAAUCUAGAUGUCCAGAAAAAGUUGUUAAUAAGUUACGAAGAAUUAGAUAACGACCAGCAACAAAUUUUUCUUGACAUCGCAUGUCACUGCAUUGAUGAAGAAAGAAUCCUUGCACAUUACAUGUGGAAAGCUUGUGGGUUUUUCCCAAAAAAUGAACUCGAUGUACUCAUUCAUUUAUCUUUGAUAAAAGUCAUCAAAGAUGAUAAAUUGUGGAUGCACGAUCAACUCAGAGAUCUUGGAAGAGAGAUUGUCCGGCAAGAAUGCAAUCUACAUCUUGGGAGGCGUAGUAGGUUGUGGCGUCCGACGGACGCCUUAUAUGUGGUUCAGAAUAACAUGGUAUGCUUUAUGGAAAAACUGAACUGCAAUCAUGUGCAUUUAGAGUUCAUUUUCACACAAAAUGUUUGCUCAUUUUUGUACAUAGGACAUUAAUAAUUUUGCAUGAUUUGAGAAAAAUGAACAGCAUUCCAAAAGAACUAAUUUUUAUCAUUAAAACUUCUAUGUAAAUGGGAGAGAUAAUGAUUCGUGGAAUUUGCCCCUUUUUGUAUAAGAUAAUAUCUAUGUGUCCCAUUUUUUUGUUGGUUCACUCUUGUUUACUAUUAGUUGUAUUUAGAUAUGUGCUCCCUAUUUUGAUAUUUAGUACUUACUCUAAAUGGUUCACUCAUGUUGCUAACUUGUUGCUCUGGAAAUAUCAGGGAACAGAAAACAUUGUAGCACUCAAACUCACAAGACUUGAUGACGGGCAUAAUUUUAUGAGUGGUGAAUUUUCCAGGCUACCAAGUUUAAGGUUCCUAGAAUUGGAUGGAGGAAACUUUGUAGGAGACUUCAAAAAUCUUCUUUCUAAUCUAACAUGGCUCUGUUGGCGUCAUUGCCCUUCAGAACUACAUGCCACUGGUUUAUGUCUAAAGAAAUUGGCUGUUCUCAAGCUUUCAAAGAGUGAUAUUAUGGAAGACUGGAAUGGAUGGGGAGCAUGCAUGGUACAAUUUCAUAUAAUGCAUUAUUUUUCGUUUAUGUGUGUAUGCAUUUGUUACAUUGAGUUGACCUUCGCCUAUGCCAUUGUUUUCCUCAAUAAUUGGUUGUUUUACAGGUAAAUGAUAACUUAAAAGUCAUACAUUUGGCAAGCUGCUAUUAUUUAAAGAGGACACCCGACUUCUCCAAGUGCCUGAAAUUGAAAAGACUGGUUCUAAAAAAUUGUACAAGAUUGGAAGAAAUUGAUAGCUCUAUUAAUCAGCUAGGCCACCUAAAGUAUCUGGAUAUCUCUAUCGAGGGUCAUCUACUGCAAAGAAAUAUUUCUCCAUCCGUUCCUCUAAUUACCAGGGCCUCAUUGGUGGUCUAAAAUCCUUGUUGGUGCUGAAGGUGGAAAAUCAUGAUGGUGUUAGAGAACUCCGCCCUCAAUAGAAGCCCUACAAGGUUUGAAGCAUCUAUCUCUAAAUGGGUGUCGCAACCUUGGAAAGCUUUCAAAUUCCAUUGGAAAUUUGACAUCACUCCUUUAUUUGAAUUUAGAAAACACUAGUGUAAGUGCAUUACCAAAUUCCAUUGGAGGACUAAAAUCGCUACUCGAAUUGGAUUUAUCUUGUACACCUAUCGAAGAAUUACCCAAUUCUAUUGGCAACCUUAGACAGUUGGAGCUCAUGAUUUUGGAGGAUAGUAACAUAAGAGAGCUACCGGAGAGUAUAGGGACUCUGGAGAAUCUUCAGGAGCUAAUAGCCUGCCAUUGUGACAAUCUUGAGGGCGAAAUUCCUAGUGAAAUCACAGGACUAUCUCGAUUGAAGAUUCUAAACUUACGCGCCACAAAUGUUAGUAGAUUGCCGAUGACAAUCACUCGGCUCUUUAACCUCAAAGAACUCGAUUUAAGUUAUUGUGAUAGGCUUCAAUUACUACCAGACCUCCCCACAAGUUUAACAAACCUAAAUAUAAGGUCUCCGUUGCAGGCAUUACCCGACCUCUCGAACCUCACUAAUUUAAAUGAUCUAACAAUAAGUGAUUGCGUUUAUGAUGCUGUGGACGAAUUUAGACGAUCAUUCAUAAUUGAACGAGGACGAAUUCUACAUCCGAACCUAGGGUAUCUCGGAAGGCUUCAUAAAUUGCAGUGUUUGAGCGUGGAUUUUUUCGAUUCCGACAUGCAUCCAAUUGACUUGAGAUCCCUUUCUCAGCUCCAGGAUUUAGACAUAACUUGU